rnacentral:rRNA from 1 species
UACAGAGGGGGCAAGCGUUGUUCGGAAUUACUGGGCGUAAAGGGCGCGUAGGCGGCCUUCUAAGUCAGACGUGAAAUCCCUCGGCUCAACCGGGGAACUGCGUCUGAGACUGGAAGGCUUGAAUCCGGGAGAGGGAUGUGGAAUUCCAGGUGUAGCGGUGAAAUGCGUAGAUAUCUGGAGGAACACCGGUGGCGAAGGCGGCAUCCUGACCGGUAUUGACGCUGAGGCGCGAAAGCCAGGGGAGCAAACGGG